UUGUAGAAUGGCUCAAAUUCCUCUCUCCAACGCUGAUCGUGGGAUUCAUCCAUGUCGUAUUUGGCUUUGCUUUCAUCAUCAUAAGCAGGUUGUAUUGCUUCCUUUGGUAAACGAGAAUCUGCCAUGAGAGCAUUGAGUGUGCUGAUUUCCUUCUCAUGUUUUUGCUUCAAUUUAUCAAUCUGUUUGUAGGCCUUCUCAGCUUCUUGCUCAGCUUCAAUUGCUCGCAUCUGCAGAUAUCAUCAAAAGCAGUUGGACCAAAAUUUAGUUAUCAAUAUGUUAGCUGUGAUAGGAACUAUAUAAUCAGGCAAAAAAAUAUCUACAUUUUCAUUCAACGUAGGUUGCUUGAUACACAAAAAUAUGGAUAUUUUCAAAAGUUCAAGCAUAUACAAAAAUCAUAUCCUUGUCUGAAAAUUGCCCACUAUAAAAGAGAAGUUCAAGAUUUAUAUACAA
rnacentral:lncRNA from 1 species